rnacentral:rRNA from 1 species
GAUGAACGCUGGCGGCGUGCCUAAUACAUGCAAGUCGAGCGAACAGACGAGGAGCUUGCUCCUCUGACGUUAGCGGCGGACGGGUGAGUAACACGUGGAUAACCUACCUAUAAGACUGGGAUAACUUCGGGAAACCGGAGCUAAUACCGGAUAAUAUAUUGAACCGCAUGGUUCAAUAGUGAAAGCCGUUUUUGCUGUCACUUAUAGAUGGAUCCGCGCCGCAUUAGCUAGUUGGUAAGGUAACGGCUUACCAAGGCAACGAUGCGUAGCCGACCUGAGAGGGUGAUCGGCCACACUGGAACUGAGACACGGUCCAGACUCCUACGGGAGGCAGCAGUAGGGAAUCUUCCGCAAUGGGCGAAAGCCUGACGGAGCAACGCCGCGUGAGUGAUGAAGGUCUUCGGAUCGUAAAACUCUGUUAUUAGGGAAGAACAAAUGUGUAAGUAACUAUGCACGUCUUGACGGUACCUAAUCAGAAAGCCACGGCUAACUACGUG